ACGCAAAGACACACACACACACACCUCCCUCUCCCCACCACCACCACCCCCCAGGUCCAUUUCCAAGAGGAACCUGAAGCGAUCCCAGACGGAGGGGACUGCUAAUAAGGAGAAGCAGCCUAAAGCAGAAGGCAUUCCUUCCUUGGGAUUUUACCUUCGUUCAACCCGGACUAUGGAUAUAAACCAUAAGGCAGUGGAGAACAUUUCUUGAUUUUGUGUGUGUAUUGGUUUUCUCUAGCCUUUUGUGGGCACCAAUGCUUUCUUCUGAGAAAUGAAAAGAGACAGCUUAAUUGUGAACCUUUGUCAGAAGCUGGAAAAUUGGCAAGAAUACACGCUGUGAAAAAACCCCAGCAAAUUAGGUGAAGUCUGGCCCAACAGUUAAAAGCAACUACACAGCAUUUGUAAUUCAAAACUACCCAUGAACAAGAAAAAGGGGAAACACAAGAGUUUAAGCUAUACAGAAAAAAACAUUAUUUGCAAAAGUUAAUUCCAGUGAAUCACAUGAAAAAUCUGUAGUUUGGGUUUCCAAACUGUUUAAACUUGAAUGCCUGACUGGAGAAUUGUUGGCAUGAUAUCCAUACCUCUUUUUUCUUCAGUCAGAAUCAAGAUUGACAAGAUGAAAUCCUGAAUCCAGGUAGGACAAUUCUUCAUUUAUGACUGCUAUACAGGUAGUCCUCAUUGACUGACCACUGCCAUUUAACAUUACAAUGGCACUGAACAAAGGGGAUUUACAAAGGGUCCUCAUAGGUGCAGCCGUUCCAGUGUCCCUGUAAUCAUGUGAUCUUGAUUCGGACAGUUGGCAACUGACUCAUAAUUUUGAGUCACAGUGAUCUUCAGUCACAUAAUCACCAAUUGCAAUCUUUGCUGUUGACUUCUGAUCAGCAAAGUCAAUGGGUAAGCUACCCUGUUUCCCCCAAAAUAAGACAUCCUGAUAAUAAGGCUUUUGAGCGCAUGGCAAUAAGGCCAAGCGCUUAUUUCAGGGUUUAAAACAAUAUAAGACAGGGUCUUAUUUUCAGGGAAACACGGUAGCAGAUCACAAAUGUGUGUAUGUACUAUGACAGCAGAGAAUUCACCUAACGAGCAACUGCAGAAGGCCGUGAAUUCAAGUCCCGGCCUUAGCCAUCAAAUUGUGAUUUCGGCCAAUCAGUCACUCUCAGUCCAACUCACCUCACAGAGUUGUUGUCAGGAAAAUAGGAAGAGUAUGUUGGAUAUGUUCGCUGCCUAGAGCUAUUUGUAAAAAUAAUAAAGUGAGAUACAAUCAAACAAAUGAGACUGCCAUAAAUGCUGUUAAAUUGGCACAAUCAUGUGAUAAUCACACUUGCAGCUAUGGCAUUUAGCAAUGCAACUCUCCCAAUUAUCGUUUUAAGCACAGUACCUGUAUCUGCAAUGAGAGCCAGUUUGGUGCAAUGGUUAAGGAACUAGGCUAGAAACCGGGAGACCAAAUUCUAUUUCUGCCCUUAGUCAUGAAGGCAUCCAGGCAACCUUGGGCCAGUCACUCUCAGCCCUCUGCAGCAGGCAAUGGCAAACCAUUUCUGAAAAUCUUAAGAAAACUGCAGGGACCAAUCCAGGCAGUCACCAAGGGUCAACAUUAACCUGAAGGCUACUUCCCUCUAAUAAUCUGCAAUGAAUUCCACAAUUGAGUCCCCUUGUGUUGUGUUCUGUCACCCAACAGAUAGAACCUGGGAUGUCCGUAUCUAAUUUAUGGAGUUUAUGGGCAUCAGUACAAUGUGCUAUCUUGAGUCCAUCUUGACUUUGAUCUGAUUCUGCAAGGAACUGGCUUGUUAAUAUGGGUAGCAGUAGGGAAUGAAUUCAUCAGUUAAGCUUUUUUUUUUUUUAAAAAAAAAUAAUUUCAGACCUGAACACGUUUGGGUUAUCACUUUAAAACUUGGGAUCUGGGUGUUUGAAAGCUGCCUAUACAGUAUCCAUUGCAACUUCUCCUGUCUUUUGCAGAGGAGAUAAUAGAGAGGAACCAUUCUUCUUCACUGUGAUCCACUGACUGAUUUUUAUUUUUUUACCCCUGUGGAGGGGUUGCCAUUGCAACUUUACACAAAGGGUGUUUUAUUCUCUCAGGGAUUUAAAAUUCUGAUUCUAUUGGUUUUAUGUGUAGUUAAAUUUUGGGACCACUAUUUCAGUUUAUUUGUCUGGUUCUGAAUGGUUAUAGGUAUUAGAAAUAAUAUUAUUUAAAAUAUGGUUUUUGUACAGCUGGUCCUUGACUUAUGACCAAUUGAGCCAGGACUUACACUAGAAACUAGCAAAAAAUGUCUCAAGUUGUAGUGAACAUGAUUGUGGGACGCUGCAAACAUCUGAAAUGGUGAGAUGUUGCCAAGCACCCAAAAUGCAAUCACAUGACUGUGUAUGGGUUGUUAAUUUUGAAAAUGGGCAGUAAAUAGGUUUUUUUGGAGGGUGAGGGAAUGCAUCAUAAAUUGAGGGCUACCUGUAAUGAAACAUGUACAAUGAAACAUUUUUUGUAAAACUCUAUUUUGCUGUUGUUGAAGAUCAUUGUUUCAAUCUUCCUGAAGAAAAGAGAAUUUUGUGGCAGCUGAAAAACUGUUUAAAGCUUAGAGGAGGAAAGAUAGUCUUGCUUUAAAAUGUUAAAAACACCACCAGAACAUUUUCAAUAGCUUAAUUUAAUGUUUAACCAUAACAUAUGGAACACAGAUCACGGUCACAUAACUAUUUUGUUACAUAAACAUGCGAGAGAAAAGUGCAUCAAAAUUUGGUAAGUUUUUUAGUAUUUACAUUCCAUAAUGAAUAAAGAUGAUAUUGUAAUUUGUUUUCUUUUGUAAUUCCAGUUGUAUUGGUCAAAAUACAUCACGAUACAGUUAGACACAGGAUUGAAUAAUGUGGACUGAGUGUGGUAACAUUCUUGUAUACAUAUUCAGAAGAAUGUAAAACUAUGUAAACUGUUGAAAAAAAAUUAAAUGCUGUACGCCAC